UGAGGCAGCGAAAUGGUCGCAUGCAUUGCAUGAGGAAAGUCCGAGCACCGAAGGGCAGAGUGCCAGAUAACAUCUGGUGGAGGCGACUCCAAGGAAAGUGCAACAGAGAUAUACCGCCGAUUUUUCGGUAAGGGUGGAAAGGUGCGGUAAGAGCGCACCGGCGGCAUGGCGACUUGUCCGUCCUGUAAACCCCACUUGGUGCAAGAUAACUAAAAGCGUAGGCUGCCCGCCCAGCUUUUAACGUUCGCUUGAGCGUAUUGGCGACAAUGCGCCUAGACAGAUGACCAUUCACGACAGAACUCGGCUUACUGCUGCGCUCAAUAC
rnacentral:RNase_P_RNA from 1 species